rnacentral:lncRNA from 1 species
CCAGUUCCUUAAUCCACUGUGCCGGGCCAGGGAUUGAACCUGCAUCCUAGUGCUCCCAGGAUGCCUCCGAUCCCAUUGUGCCACAGCAAGCACUCCAAGAAGCUCUUUCUUUUUCUGUUAACUCAUAUCUCACAGCUCAUCCUUCUCUCAUCUCCUUCAAUUAUCUCUUCUAAAGUCCUAUUAGCCCAUCUCAACUAAGUAAUCUCAGAGAGGCUACAAUAUUUACUAAGCAACCUCUGAGUGGGAAGCAUUUCAUUCUUCUGGUGGGGCAAAUAUAAUUGAAUUUUGAUCCCCAUAUUUGCCCAUGUUUGUAUGUCUUCUGAACAAAUUGGAAAAAGUAGAAUGGACUACAGAUUGGACUUCAUUCCAAGGAAACUACAACAUGCAUUGUGCCUGCAAUCUUUUUUAUAAGAGUCUUCUUUCAAAGUGAAAAAAAAAUCCCUCUUGGGAGAGGGGAAGAAAACAGGUAAUAAAUUCUCCCUUUAUUUCCAUGCUGAAACCUUUGUUAUACAAAUAAACCUACAUUCAUCUGGUUUACAGAAAGCAGAAGACAUGCACACAAUGACUAGCAGCAAUAUUUUCCUAAAGUGCUCCACCAUGAAUUAUAAGAGACUGCUAACAAUGAUCCUUUUCUUGUGUGAUAAUGUCCACAAAUCACCCUUUCUAAUGUAUGACUCUUGUCUGCACUUAAGAGGUAUGUAUUUGUCAAUCACAACCUCUUCCUUUGGUCCAGAUAUUCCUUUUCCCAUAUUUUAAAUAAUGACAACAUAUGGAUAAAGGAUAAAGUUAAGUAAUUGUCACAUUCCCCUUGGCAUUCUGGGGAAAGAUCUGUUUAGGGUAACUAUGCAAAAACCAUCUUCUCAGCAAAGCUAAUUUUAGCUGAGGAUCAAUAAAUAUGUAUGCAGCAAUGACAAGGAUUGUUUGCUAAAAGCACUGGCCCACCAUGCCGGGUCAGGAUACACAGGCAAAAAAAAAAUGAUGUGAAAUAUUAAGGCACAGCAAAGUUUCAAUUCUUUCGAAAAGACAAGGAAAAAACAGUCAGUUGGAAGCUCAGGAUUUACUAAUCCAUUUACUUAAGAAAUAGUCAAAGCAAAUUUGAUCUUCUGUUUUGCUCUCUCUUCAAAGAAUAAUUUUCUUCAACAAUUCCUCCCCCUCCAAGCAGUCUUUUUCUCUGUAUAUACUGUACUCUCUAUUCCAUUUAACACUCUGCAUUUUAAAGACUUAAAGUUUUCAUUUUAACCUAUAGUUUAUAUGAACCCCAUCUCACACAUUUGCCAGGAUAUAAAACUAUUUAAAAACACAUUAAAAGCAAAAGAAAGAAAGAAAGCGGAAAACUGUUACAUUUCUUAUCUUAGUGAUUUUCCUUACAAACUUUGGGAACAUUUCCUUAGGUUCAGGGAGGUUUAGGAAUCUAUACGCUCACAGAUAUCUUUUAAAAAUAUAUACCUUAUAAGGAAUAAUAGGAUUCAUUUCACUUAUGUUUAGGAAUUAAUAAGUGACUCUUUAAAGAGUAUGGACCAGAAAGAAAUUUCCAGAACCCUUGGAAUAUGAUCAGAGGUAACAUACAUUAUUGUGAUGUCAUUUACUUCUUCUCAAUGACUGAUGUCAAUGAAUAACAGUAUCAAUGAAUAAUGUAUUUAUGGUGAAGUAUGAAUCUCCCAUCCAUAUCUUGAACUGUUGGAUGUCUGAAAGGGACUCUGGGAUUCAACUCUCCUUAGAAGCAUAAAAUAUCAGUGAUGGGAGGGAAAGAGAAAUUCAGCAAUGUGGAAAUGUGUAUGAGGAUGUUUUUGAAGCUCAUAGAUCAAUAGAAUUUAAAAUUAGUAUUCUAUGUUAAAGGGAAACAUUUUCCACUCACAAAAAAAGGGAAAACAUAGUGAUAACACUUAAUAACCAAGUCACUGACAAUUUUCUGAGCCUUCUCUUCACGCACUGCUGCCUAGCAACUUGAAAAUUGUUUUCUUAUCCUACUAAUUUUGGGCAUAAGGGGUCUGUGUGCAUUUGUUUACCUAAAAGGGAGAGGAAGAAAACUAGCAGAGGAUGAGGAGAAUUUGAUGACCUGCAGGCUGUGGGCUGUAGGCAGACACUGAGCACAGACUGAGACUUGGGGACUUCAGUUGGGGUGAUUUUUGUGGGUCAUGAUAUAGUUAACGGGGAUUAGACAUAUAGGAGGAGAAAUCAUUUUGUGAGAGGAAGGAACAUAAUGAAUUUGUCCUGGGCAGAAUGGAUUUGAGAUAUCUAUGAAACAUCUACCUGCAGAUUGCCGAAAGUCAGAUGUAAAUAGGAUUCUAGGAAAGGGAAAGUGACGACAAUUACUGAUAAUCUUUGGGUUGCCUUUAGCAUGCAGGUGGUAGAUGAAGACAAGAGGGUGAAUAAAAAAUACUUAGAAAUAAGUGCUCCUCUAUUUAAUUUCUAUUUUUCUCUAUUUAGUUUAAUGAUACACAAAUACAUACAUAAUAAUGGACCAUAUCUGGGAGGGUGGAUGCCUUCUUACUUUAGAAGGAUGGGCUGCAUGUAGUUCCCACCAUUUUUAUUGCAAUUACUUGCCUUCAUGUUUGUUCGUCUCCCAGACUCUACGAUUCUUAAGGGCAGAUUAUAGUAGUUGGCACAGAGUAAAGCUCCAGUGAACAUUUGUUUAAAUAAUGAAUGAAGGAAUGAAUGGGUAAAUGAGAGAAAGCAGGAUAUAGAAACUGUGCCAAAACCUCAACUCAUGUCAAGUCAUAGUAUCAAGGCUAACAUUCAACUUUUGAUUUAUGGUACCUUCCCAGAACAUAAAUAACCCACUCGCCCCCCCUAAAAAAAGUGCAAAACCAAACUAUUUUUACCAAAGAUGUCUAUAAGGGUAUAUGUUCUUUUGAAUAUCACCGUGCAACAAUCAAUAGCUAACAUAGUGUAUGUAUGUACUUAUGGGUACAUUUGUAACUGUGUAUAUAAUUAAAUAUCAAAGUAUCAACAUAUAUAAAUUUGUAAGACCAUAGCAUCUAUUGUGGUAAUAAAAUUUUACCUAAAUCAUAUAUGUAUAUUUUAAAUACGUUAAAUAUUAUGUGCUAGGUGCUAAAUCAAGCACUUUGUUUAAAUGAUCUCAUUUAGUUCUCCCAGUCACCCCAUAAGUGAGAAAUUAUUAUAUGUAUUUAGACACACAUUUUAGAAAUGGACACAUAUAGACCAUUGAAUAGGUUUUACAGAUGUUCAAAAUAGAAUGUCCAAUUUUCUAAAUCUGUCAUUCGAGACACUAUACAAUUGAGUUGCAUGUCUAUAUUUGAUGUUCACACAAUUCAUAUUUCACAUGAGAUAUAGUUUGCAUGCAGAGUUAUAGAUAAAAUACCUUAUUUGAACAUAUAAAGUUUUGUAUUUUUUACCAGGGCACUAGUCGUUAAGAACAAGACUGAUUAAGUCAACCUUUUUAGAUCUUCCCUAUAAUGCAAAAAACAAAAUGAAAGACCACUUCUACUCAAUAUCAACUUUCUCCGUGAGAUAGGACAAAUGAAAUUUUCUGUUAUGCAUGAUGGCUUAUUGAGGUAGAAAUUGCCUGCUGCCAAUAAAUUAAGGUACAUCAAUUUAGACCACUGCCUUGUAAGGGACAGUGCAGGGUAAAAAUCACUUGUUACGAAAAUUUGCUGAUUAAGUGCAAUAACGGAUAGUUUUAAAGCAUUAUACGAACACAACUUCAUUUUUAUUACUGCUGUACAUUUGUAUUUUUGCUCCUUUGGAAGUAGACUAUUCAUCAAUUGUAAUCCUCUGGAAUGUAACCAAUAACAAAGUAGAAGGCAAACAAGCCAAAACAGACAAAAUAAAUCUUUCCAAGUCCAAAAACUAAGUAUCAGCCUUCCUCUCACAGGAGACUUUUAGGUCUUAUCUCUCAGAGACUGUUUACUUCUGUUAGAGACACGUUUUGAACGGGUUUCAUCAGGUCUAGACAGGAUCACUGCAGUAGAAUUCUCACUGGUGUCUCUGACUUCAUUCUUUCCUAAUUCUAAGCCAUCCUUCACAUGAAUAUAUGUCAUAUUCAUGAGCUGAAACUUUCUAGUGGCUAUUGUCUAUUAAAUAAAUUUGGCCUUGUACAUGUUUUACAAUUACUACAUGUGAAUGAGCCCUCGACUCUCUUUCUAGCCUCAUCAGUAUGACCACCAACCUGGAUUUUUUUCCACAGUCUCUAGUCAUAUUGGGCUUUAAAAAAAAAAUGCCUUCAUUUAAUGCCAUGCCAUGUCCAAAAUCAGGACCUUUACACAUGGUCUUACACCUAUUUGUACUGUUUGUUCUCUUUGCUUUGCUAAUGCCACUCACAUCUCAGACUGCCCCAUGAAGGCCUGUCUUAUAUCCCAUGCUAAAGGAGUUUGCCCCUAGGUAGAGUCACUGAUGCUGUCUGAGCACAGAUCAUAUUUGAAUGAAAAAAUUAUUUAACUGGCAUUUAUUUAAUUGUCUUCAACGUUUUCUUCUGCUAAAUCAUAAACUCUAAGAAAGGAUUGUUUAGUUUGACUCACUAAGAUACCAUAGAGCACGUUCAAUAAACAUUGAUCAACUAAUCAAAUAUGGUUAUGUAGACAAGUCAAGAUAAGAUAGACUACAAGAUUACUUAGAAAAUUAAUGUACAUGUUAUACUUUAUCUGAAAAUACUGAGUAAAUGAAUAAGAAGAGCUAACAACUGUCUGCUUCUAAGUACUUUAUACUUAAACCCUCAUUUAAACCAUAUAGAAACUCGAGAAGAUGCAUACUACUUACACUCUCCUCUGAGAGAGGCAGGAACUGAAACCCAGAGAGUUCUAACGCAUUUGCUCAAGGUCGCACAGUUAAUAAGCAGAGGGAAAUAAGACUUAAAUUUCUCUGAUCUGGAGGCAGUUCUUUCUGACACCCAUUCAGCAAUGAUCUUUGAAGGUCUCAAAAGAAAAUACUGACUUUUUAACCAAACUUUAUCAUUUUUCGGCUAAAAUUGUUGAGCAGAUAUCUACAAAUGCCAAGGACACUGCUAAUCACUUUUUUGCGGCGGGAGGUAGAUACCCCAGAAAUGGGAUUGAACCUGCAACACAGCAGUGACCCGAGCUGCUGCAGUGACACCAGAUCCUUAACUCAUGGUGCUACAAGGAACUCCGCUAAUCACCUUGUAUGCAUCUGUCAUUUAAUCUUCAGAACAACCUAUGGAGCGUUAUCAUUAUUUCCAAUUUAUAAGUAAUUGAAUUAAUACUUAGAAAGUGUGAUCUCCCAAAGUCAAGCCAUAAUCCAGAACUGAACCCCAGCUCAACUGACUCCAAAGAUUGAGCUCUUACAGGAGAAGACCUAUCCACCUAUCCACCAAGAGAAGACCCUUUUAUAGAGGUCAAUUUUGUUGCUACUGGUAUUUUGGUCCAAAUAAUACUUGGGGCUGCCCUAUGCCUUGUGGGCUGUUUAGCACAUCUCUGCCUUCACCUCUCCUCCCAGUCACGACAAUAAAGUAUCUCUGUAGUCGGACCAUUGCCCCUUAGGUGAGGAGGCAAAAGUGCUUCUGACUGAGAACCACU